UGACCUCAGAUCAGGCAAGGCUACCCGCUGAAUUUAAGCAUAUUAAUAAGCGGAGGAAAAGAAACUAACAAGGAUUCCCCUAGUAAUGGCGAAUGAAGCGGGAACAGCUCAAAUUUAAAAUCUCCGUUGCUUGCAACGGCGAAUUGUAGUUUCGAGAAGCACUUUCUCGGCGGAUCCGAGGUCGUCCAAGUUGCUUGGAACAGCACGUCGUAGAGGGUGACAACCCCGUCUGCGGCGACCUCGGCCGUUCACGAUGUGCUUUCGACGAGUCGGGUUGUUUGGGAAUGCAGCCCAAAAUGGGUGGUAAACUCCAUCUAAAGCUAAAUAUUGGCACGAGACCGAUAGCGAACAAGUACCGUGAGGGAAAGAUGAAAAGCACUUUGAAAAGAGAGUUAAAAAGUACGUGAAACCGUUAAAAGGGAAACGAAUGGNGUUAGCAAUGCGUCGUGCGAGAUUCAGCCGGUGGGUGGGCCAGGCGGGCGGUUGGCGGAUCUGAAUGGACCGCUGCCGUUCGGGUUGGUUUCCCGACCGUCGCACUUCUCGCAGGCGCGCGCCAACGUCGG
rnacentral:ncRNA from 1 species